rnacentral:rRNA from 1 species
UAGGGAAUCUUCCGCAAUGGACGCAAGUCUGACGGAGCAACGCCGCGUGAGUGAAGAAGGAUUUCGGUUCGUAAAACUCUUUUGUUAGAGAAGAACAGCGCAUAGAGUAACUGUUAUGCGUGUGACGGUAUCUAACCAGAAAGCCACGGCUAACUACUUGCCAGCAGCCGCGGUAAUACGUAGGUGGCAAGCGUUGUCCGGAUUUAUUGGGCGUAAAGCGAGCGCAGGCGGUCAAUUAAGUCUGAUGUGAAAGCCCCCGGCUCAACCGGGGAGGGUCAUUGGAAACUGGUUGACUUGAGUGCAGAAGAGGAGAGUGGAAUUCCAUGUGUAGCGGUGAAAUGCGUAGAUAUAUGGAGGAACACCAGUGGCGAAGGCGACUCUCUGGUCUGUAACUGACGCGGAGGCUCGAAAGCGUGGGUAGCAAACAGG